UGGGGAAUAUUGCACAAUGGGCGCAAGCCUGAUGCAGCCAUGCCGCGUGUGUGAAGAAGGCCUUCGGGUUGUAAAGCACUUUCAGCGAGGAGGAAGGUGUUGAGGCUAAUAACCUCAGCAAUUGACGUUACCCGCAGAAGAAGCACCGGCUAACUCCGUGCCAGCAGCCGCGGUAAUACGGAGGGUGCAAGCGUUAAUCGGAAUUACUGGGCGUAAAGCGCACGCAGGCGGUCUGUCAAGUCGGAUGUGAAAUCCCCGGGCUCAACCUGGGAACUGCAUUCGAAACUGGCAGGCUAGAGUCUUGUAGAGGGGGGUAGAAUUCCAGGUGUAGCGGUGAAAUGCGUAGAGAUCUGGAGGAAUACCGGUGGCGAAGGCGGCCCCCUGGACAAAGACUGACGCUCAGGUGCGAAAGCGUGGGGAGCAAACA
rnacentral:rRNA from 1 species